rnacentral:rRNA from 1 species
UUACGGAAGGCAGCAGUGGGGAAUAUUGCACAAUGGGGGAAACCCUGAUGCAGCAACGCCGCGUGAGUGAUGACGGUCUUCGGAUUGUAAAGCUCUGUCUUUAGGGACGAUAAUGACGGUACCUAAGGAGGAAGCCACGGCUAACUACGUGCCAGCAGCCGCGGUAAUACGUAGGUGGCAAGCGUUGUCCGGAUUUACUGGGCGUAAAGGGAGCGUAGGCGGAUCUUUGAGUGGGAUGUGAAAUACUUGGGCUCAACCUGGGGGCUGCAUUCCAAACUGGGGAUCUAGAGUACAGGAGGGGAGAGUGGAAUUCCUAGUGUAGUGGUGAAAUGCGUAGAGAUUAGGAAGAACACCAGUGGCGAAGGCGACUCUCUGGACUGUAACUGACGCUGAGGCUCGAGAGCGUGGGGAGCAAACAGGAUUAGAUACCCUGGUAGG